rnacentral:rRNA from 1 species
UACGUAGGGUGCGAGCGUUAAUCGGAAUUACUGGGCGUAAAGCGUGCGCAGGCGGUUUUGUAAGCCAGAUGUGAAAUCCCCGGGCUUAACCUGGGAAUGGCAUUUGGGGACUGCAAGGCUUGAGUGCGGCAGAGGAGACUGGAAUUCCUGGUGUAGCAGUGAAAUGCGUAGAUAUCAGGAGGAACACCGAUGGCGAAGGCAGGUCUCUGGGCUGACACUGACGCUCAUGCACGAAAGCGUGGG